rnacentral:rRNA from 1 species
UGGCAGGCUUGGACUCAAAUUAUGAGAACCAAAGAACAUGGCGGCAUUGGCUUCAGGUACUUUCGCCUAUUGAAUCAGGCCCUACUUGCUCGUCAAGCGUGGCACUUAUUAACUAAACCUGACAGCUUGUGUGCGCGGGUCUUGAAAGCACGAUACUACCCAGAUGGUCGUCUUGAGGAUACGGUCUUCACCGGGAACACGUCGUCUACCUGGCAGGCUGUACAACAUGGCCUUGAUCUCCUAAAGAAGGGCCUCGUGUGGCGCAUCGGUACCGGGGAGCAGAUUCGGAUUUGGCGUGACCGUUGGCUCCCCCGGAUGCACUCUGGCAUGCCGAUUACGCGACAAGGCACCUGCAGGCUUAGGCGGGUUGCUGAGCUUCUUGAUGACCGGGGCGCCUGGCGCAUGGAGCUUCUCCAGCAGUACUUCCUCCCGGCGGAUGUGGAGGCCAUCACUAGCAUCCGUGUUUCCACAAGGGCACCGACAGAUGUGCUUGCUUGGGCGCCAGAAAAAUCUGGAAAUUUACGGUGA